rnacentral:lncRNA from 1 species
AUGCUUCCUUGUUGCAGAAGCAAGCUAGCUAAGGUUUCUUAUUCUGGAAUCAGGAGCUGUUUCCCUUCAAGCUGGAAGAAGAAAGCAAACCACAGUCUGGCAACGAAGCGAGAAUUACUUUAUUCUGCAUUUUGCUGUCUGCCUUUUCUCUGCCAGAGAAGUAUGUUUGGUGGGAACGUUCAGGAGCCUGACGCUUCCUCGAAGGUAAGAUUCAUCCUUGUGCAGAAAGCCAUUUGUAUCCCUGCAUCCUUUAGAUCCAGUUUGAGAGCCAAAAGCAGGGCUUGUGAGGGACUUGAAAGCUGUUUAGUCUUUUGCUGACCUAUGUCCGACUAUGAAUUUUACUCCAGAUAUUUACUCUGUUUGGUGGGUACUCCAGCAAUUUUAUUUCUUGAUAAGAUUGCCAUUAUCAGAGUGCUCCAGAUAUAUUGUAUUCAACUUUCUUAAUCUCCGAUUUUCAAAACAUCUGGUAUUUCUAAGAAGCUGUCUGGCUUAUGCUCCCUGCUGACACAGGGGAAAGGAAACGGAAGUGGGGAAAGCUCACAAACUUCUUAAACGCUUCGUUACACAUAACGGCAGCCUUCGCUCGGCCGGUCCCACGCCUCCUCCCGAACAGCCUGCACCACAAAAACACCCUUU